UCUGGGGCUUGGAACCACCUUACGCGUUCUUCUCGGUUACGGCAGACCAGAAUAAUGGCCUUGUAGCAAGGUUGGUGUUGAUCACGUAAAACACAAGUAGGGUAAGUUUCCUAGAGGGCACCGACUGUACGCAGAUCGAUCUUGUAUGAUUUGGGCGUAUUCACUAUCACUGGCACAGCAGCAUGCGAGCAGGAACCCCGCGAAUUCUGGUACCGACGGAGAGCCACAGUACCGAGGCACUAACGACGGGACGGGAGUCAGUGUACCGGUGGACGGGGUCGUUUACGGACAGCCUUAAUCGCCAACUGCUACUGCAGAAUCUUUCCUCCGGCGGGUUAAUCGGGUUCCUCACAAUCCACAGUAUUUCGGUGAGCAUUUUCAUUAUUAUACUAAAUUUCACACUAUCAAUAAGCUACAAAUUUGAAAAUUUCUUUAGAAAUUGAGAAUAAUUUUGUUACCACAAUGUUUUGAAAAAAAAAUCUUGAUUACGGAUUGUCAAAACUGUCGGAGUUUUUGGCACCAGCUUGGCAAAUCGAAAUUAUAACUCCGACAGCACAGCUUUACGCAAAAAUGAGUAAUAGAUUUCUGUGUAAAUUUCUAAUCUGUUUUGUUAAGGUUUUAUAUAUCAAGCAAAAGAACCUGAAUGGGCCAUUGAUGAAAAAUAAUUUUUAUGGCAUAAUAAUCAUGAUAGGGGAGAAUAAAUUUUAAAUUUGAAGGCCACGUGGCUUGUGCAAGAUUCUUAUGAGCACAAACGGGUUAAAAUGGAUGUUUAAAUUAAUUUUUAAAAAUAGGUUUACAAGCCUAUUUGACAGUUAGUUUUUUCAAGUAAUCAAAACGAGAGAUAUGGGCAAGAAAGACGAGUUAACAUUUCCGAUUUUUUUUGCACAACUUCAUACACAGCUCUUUUUAGCCACAGUUGAAACAUAGUUCAAACUAAACAAUGUAAAUGGGUCAAUGUGAGCUUGUUCUUCUUUGUUAACAAUUUUACAUUGACCCAUUAACAUUGUUGUUACAUGUUGAAAGAGCAACAUGGAGUUAGACUUUCUGUCCAGCUGUGUGUAAAGUGUAUCAUGCUCAGUAUUGUCAGAUUUUCAGAAAAUUCUGGGAAUACCUGAAUUUUCAAAUGCUCGACAGAAUAAAAAUAGACUCUCUAGAUGCUCAAUUCCAGAUUUCAAAAGAUUUUGCUGACAGUAAAAAAAAAAGAUUUUUGUCAACAAAAGCCAAGUUGAAAUAGGGUGAUUAGGAGUACUAUCAAAAACGGUGUAGACUUUGGAUUAUUGGUUCAACUUUACAGUUUUUAUGAAUAACUACGGGUUUUUCUAUGUUUAUAGUACCUUUCCAAAUAAAAAUCUAGAAAUAGAAAAACUUUUUAUUUUUUAAUUAUUUUCCCAAAAAUACCCGAUUUUUUUAAAGUGUUUAUUUGUUAAAAUCUUGGUGCUCUGGUGAUACCAUGGGCGUUAGAGGGUAAAUUUAUAUUCGUUAGGUAGCUACAGACUUUACAAUACAAAUUUGUCUGUAUCUGUGUUUGUAGAAAUUUUCAAAUCUGGCAGCACUGACUCCGACAGAACAACCCGACAUUUUCAUCGGAAUCAAAACGUCAAAUUUUCGGUAGUAAACAAAAGGCAGUGGUUCGUCUUGUUUUUUUUUGUAGUUGUCAAAAGAGUUCGUCUUGUUGUUGCCACCGUUGCCACAAAUCCGUAGAUUUCCAGCGGUUUUCGCUUCUCCGCCGAUUUGUCCAGCUGCUGCUGCUCCAGGUCGUUCUCAAUCACGGCGUCGUCCUCCAACGCAGCAGCUGAACGAAUCGGCGGAGAAGCGAAAAUCGAUGGAAAUACCGUUGCUUGUGGACGAGGAACUCAAGACCGAGGAGGAAGUGCAAGCCAAGCUUGAUCUGGACGAAAACGAGGUGAAAAUGGUCGACGCGAGCGAGGAAAACGAGACCGUCAACGAUGAGGUGGUAAUCAACCAACAUUGAAUAGGACGACGGCGGCGUGAAGGCGGUUGAACCGAUGGAGUGCGGAAGUAGUUUGACUUCGCCGAAGCACGUGAUGAAGACGCACUUUGACGACGUGAUGAUGUCGGAGACGACAUUGACCUGUUCCGGAAGCAAGCAGGUCGAGAGUUCGGACACGUCGUUGAUUUCGAACGCGGAGCUGGCAGAGUUCAAG